rnacentral:rRNA from 1 species
AGCGAACGCUGGCGGCAGGCCUAACACAUGCAAGUCGAACGAACCUUUCGGGGUUAGUGGCGGACGGGUGAGUAACACGUGGGAACGUGCCUUUAGGUUCGGAAUAACUCAGGGAAACUUGUGCUAAUACCGAAUGUGCCCUUCGGGGGAAAGAUUUAUCGCCGUUAGAGCGGCCCGCGUCUGAUUAGCUAGUUGGUUGAGGUAAUGGCUCACCAAGGCGACGAUCAGUAGCUGGUCUGAGAGGAUGAUCAGCCACAUUGGGACUGAGACACGGCCCAAACUCCUACGGGAGGCAGCAGUGGGGAAUCUUGCGCAAUGGGGGAAGGCCUGACGCAGCCAGGCCGCGUGAAUGAUGAAGGUCUUAGGAUUGUAAAAUUCUUUCACCGGGGACGAUAAUGACGGUACCCGGAGAAGAAGCCCCGGCUAACUUCGUG